CCUACGGGAGGCAGCAGUGAGGAAUAUUGGUCAAUGGACGCAAGUCUGAACCAGCCAUGCCGCGUGCAGGAAGACGGCUCUAUGAGUUGUAAACUGCUUUUGUACGAGGGUAAACGCAGAUACGCGUAUCUGUCUGAAAGUAUCGUACGAAUAAGGAUCGGCUAACUCCGUGCCAGCAGCCGCGGUAAUACGGAGGAUUCAAGCGUUAUCCGGAUUUAUUGGGUUUAAAGGGUGCGUAGGCGGUCGGAUAAGUUAGAGGUGAAAUCCCGAGGCUCAACUUCGGAAUGGCCUCUGAUACUGUUCGGCUAGAGAGUAGUUGCGGUAGGCGGAAUGUAUGGUGUAGCGGUGAAAUGCUUAGAGAUCAUACAGAACACCGAUUGCGAAGGCAGCUUACCAAGCUACUUCUGACGUUGAGGCACGAAAGCGUGGGGAGCGAACAGGAUUAGAUACCCGGGUAGUC
rnacentral:rRNA from 1 species